rnacentral:snRNA from 1 species
AGCUUUGUGUUGUGGCAGUGUCAUAGCCAAUGAGGUUUAUCCAAGGUGUGGUUAUUGCUAACUGAAAAUUCUCAAGGAUAUCC